GCCGGGCGUGGUUGCGCGUGCCUGUAAUCCCAGCUACUCGGGAGGCUGAGGCAGGAGAAUCACUUGAACCCGGGAGGUGGAGCUUGCAGUGAGCCGAGAUCGCGCCACUGCACUCCAGCCUGGGCAACAAAGUGAGAUUCUGUCUCAA
rnacentral:SRP_RNA from 1 species